rnacentral:rRNA from 1 species
GUCCUUUAGGUAAUUAUAAUUUAAGGUCUAACCUGCCCAUUGAUAAGUUAAAAGGCCGCAGUAAUUUGACUGUGCAAAGGUAGCAUAAUCAUUAGUUUUUUAAUUAAAAGCUUGUAUGAAUGGUUGGACGAGAUAAAAUCUGUCUCUUUAUAAAAAAUAGAAUUUAAUUUUUAAGUUAAAAAGCUUAAAUUUAUAUAAAAGACGAGAAGACCCUAUAGAUCUUUAUAUAAUUUUUUUUUGUAUUAAUAAAGAAGUUUUAAUUUAUUAAAAAAAAUUAUAUUUUAUUGGGGUAAUAAAAAGAUUAAUUAAAUUCUUUUAUAAAAAACAAUAAUUAUUGAUUAUAUGAUCCAUUAUUAAUGAUUAUAAGAUUAAGUUACCUUAGGGAUAACAGCGUAAUUUUUUUAGAGAGUUCUUAUCAAUAAAAAAGUUUGCGACCUCGAUGUUGGAUUAAAAGUAAUUCUAGGUGCAGAAGUUUAGAGUUUUGGUCUGUUCGACCAUUAAAUUUUU